CGCGUAGCAUGCUACGUCAUUCUCCACGCGAAGCA
rnacentral:misc_RNA from 1 species